UAGUCAUUUAGCAGACGCUUUUAUCAAAAGCAACUUAUAAAUGAGGACAAUGAAAGCAAUCAAAAUCAACAAAAGAGCAAUGAUAUACAAGUGCUAUAACAAGUCAGCUUAAAUGCAGUACACAUAGCAAGGGCUUUUAAAUAAUAUGAUAAAAAUAAAAGUGACUUUGUGAUUCUUUGGGAUGGCACAAUCAAGCAACGUUCACUUGCAGAAUGCAAGCUUCUAGAGGGCACAUAAGUCUGAAGUCAUGAAUUUAGGUAAAGGAGUGCAGAGCCAGUGGUGGUUUUGUAUGCAAACAUCAAUGCCUUGAAUUUUAUGCGAGCAGCUAUUGGUAGCCAGUGCAAAUUGAUAAAAAGAGGUGUGACAUGUAUUCUUUUCGGCUCAUUAAAAAUUAAUCUUGCUGCCGUGUUCUGGAUUAAUUGUAAAGGUUUGAUAGAACUGCUGGAAGACCUGCCAAGAGGGCAUUGCAAUAAUCCAGCCUGGACAAAACAAGAGCUUGAACAAGGAGUUGUGCAGCAUUUUCUGAAAGAAAGGGCCUGAUCUUCUUGAUGUUGAAUAAAGCAAAUCUGCAGGAUCGGACAGUUUUAGCAAUGUGGUCUGUGAAAAAUUUUGCUGAUCAUCAAUCAGAACUCCAAGGCUUCUGGCUGUUUUUGAAUGAGUUAUGGCUGAUGUGCCAUACACUCUCACCUAAAGGGUGCAUAUUAGUACCUUUUGAAGGAGUACCACCCCAGUGAUGGCUUUUGUGCCUUUAUUUUUGAGAUUGUAGUUGUUAAAGGGUUACAUUAUACUUUGGUGAUUCUAAAUAUAACAGUUUCUUCUGCUUGUGAAAAAAAAAGAUUGUUGUAAGAAUAUCUAUGAUGUAAUUGUUAGACUGAACUAAUAAAAUAUUUGCUUGUAAUUAUAAGCAGUAGAGUUAGUCAGUGGAGUAAAUAAAUUAGAAAAAUAUAUGCUUCAGAUGCCUUAAUUUUUUUUUUCAUAUAUGUUAAUGCUUUAGCAACAAAUAAAAUGAAUUAUAUUUCUUGUU